CCCUGCUACUGCAACAUAGGUGCUUGGAAAGG
rnacentral:piRNA from 1 species